rnacentral:rRNA from 1 species
AGUGAACGCUGGCGGUAGGCCUAACACAUGCAAGUCGAACGGCAGCACAGGAGAGCUUGCUCUCUGGGUGGCGAGUGGCGGACGGGUGAGGAAUACAUCGGAAUCUACUCUGUCGUGGGGGAUAACGUAGGGAAACUUACGCUAAUACCGCAUACGACCUACGGGUGAAAGCAGGGGAUCUUCGGACCUUGCGCGAUUGAAUGAGCCGAUGUCGGAGUUAGCUAGUUGGCGGGGUAAAGGCCCACCAAGGCGACGAUCCGUAGCUGGUCUGAGAGGAUGAUCAGCCACCCUGGAACGGGGACACGGUCCAGACUCCUACGGAAGGCAGCAGUGGGGAAUAUUGGACAAUGGGCGCAAGCCUGAUCCAGCCAUACCGCGUGGGUGAAGAAGGCCUUCGGGUUGUAAAGCCCUUUUGUUGGGAAAGAAAUCCAGCUGGCUAAUACCCGGUUGGGAUGACGGUACCCAAAGAAUAAGCACCGGCUAACUUCGUGCCAGCCGCCGCCGUAA